UACAGAGGUCUCAAGCGUUUGUUCGGAUUCAUUGGGCGUAAAGGGUGCGUAGGCGGCGCGGUAAGUCGGGUGUGAAAUCUCGGAGCUUAACUCCGAAACUGCAUUCGAUACUGCCGUGCUUGAGGACUGGAGAGGAGACUGGAAUUUACGGUGUAGCGGUGAAAUGCGUAGAUAUCGUAAGGAAGACCAGUGGCGAAGGCGGGGUCUCUGGACAGUUCCUGACGCUGAGGCACGAAGGCCAGGGGGAGCAAACGGG
rnacentral:rRNA from 1 species